rnacentral:tRNA from 1 species
GCCUGGCUGGCUCAGUUGGUUAAGCAUCUGACUUCAACUCAGAUCAUGAUCUCAUGGUUCAUGAGUUCAAGUCCUGCAUCAGGCU